AUCAUGGAUAGGAAAUGAGGACAACAAGGAUUUUUUUUUAUCCUUGCGGGUAAAGCUCCAGGCAGAGGCCAUUUAAGCUCUUUGGAGGCUUCGGCAUGGUGGUGCUCUCAUGAAAUCCCAGGAUGCUGAAGGUGGAGGCAGGAGGAUCAGGAAUUCAAGGCCAGCUUUGGCUACACAGUUUUCAGCCAAGAGCACAGCAGACAUACUCUGAUACAGUAGUGUAUAUUUUAAAAUAUGUAAAACCAACAAUGUAGCCAUUUUAGCAACAAUAAAUCACUCUUUUUAAAAUA